UCUUCCUCUGCCUUCUCCUAAUUUGAAACUCAGUCUCUUUGAGCAGUAAAUGAUUGCAAUUUCUCAAUUCUAAGGCACUGCUACCAAUCUUUACUUCAUAAGGCAUGAGAUAGACAUGUUGAACAUGGCCAAAUGAUGAAAAAGAUUCUUCAACGUCCAUUUCUGCAGCUUGUUUGUUCAGUAAUCCCACCAACAAACUGUACUCAACUGCACAAAGGUGCUUCCCACCUACAUAUAGGAUAUUGAUUGUACAAAACUCUGAUGGCCAUAUCAUCUUCUUUAGAAGUUGUAUAUUUAG
rnacentral:misc_RNA from 1 species